AGCGAACGCUGGCGGCAGGCCUAACACAUGCAAGUCGAACGGAUCCUUCGGGAUUAGUGGCGGACGGGUGAGUAACACGUGGAACGUGCCCUUUGGUUCGGAACAACUCAGGGAAACUUGAGCUAAUACCGGAUGUGCCCUUCGGGGGAAAGAUUUAUCGCCAUUGGAGCGGCCCGCGUCUGAUUAGCUAGUUGGUGAGGUAAAGGCUCACCAAAGGCGACGAUCAGUAGCUGGUCUGAGAGGAUGAUCAGCCACAUUGGGGACUGAGACACGGCCCAAACUCCCUACGGGAGGCAGCAGUGGGGAAUCUUGUGCAAUGGGGCGAAAAGUCCUGACGCAGCCAUGCCGCGUG
rnacentral:rRNA from 1 species